GAAAUGCGAUAAGUAAUGUGAAUUGCAGAAUUCAGUGAAUCAUCGACUCUUUGAACGCACAUUGCGCCCGCCAGUAUUCUGGCGGGCAUGCCUGUUCGAGCGUCAUUUCAACCAUCAAGCCCCCGGCUUGUGUUGGGGACCUGCGGCUGCCCGCAGGCCCUGAAAAACAGUGGCGGGCUCGCUGUCACACCGAGCGUAGUAGCAUACAUUCUCGCUCAGGGCGUGCUGCGGGUUCCGGCCGUUAAACGACCUUCAUAACCCAAGGUUGACCUCGGAUCAGGUAGGAAGACCCGCUGAACUUAAGC
rnacentral:misc_RNA from 1 species